GGCAAGGUGGAUUAGUGGUUAGUACAUUUGUCUCACACUUCCAAGAUUGGGGGUUCAAAUCAUGCCUCUGCCU